UACAGAGGGUGCGAGCGUUAAUCGGAAUUACUGGGCGUAAAGAGCGCGCAGGCGGUCGGAUAAGUCGAAUGUGAAAGCCCCCGGCUCAACUGGGGAGGGUCAUUCGAUACUGUUCGACUCGAAGGCAGGAGAGGGAAGUGGAAUUCCCGGUGUAGUGGUGAAAUGCGUAGAUAUCGGGAGGAACACCAGUGGCGAAGGCGACUUCCUGGCCUGUUCUUGACGCUGAGGCGCGAAAGCUAGGGGAGCAAACGGG
rnacentral:rRNA from 1 species